rnacentral:rRNA from 1 species
CUACGGGUUGCUGCAGUGGGGAAUAUUGCACAAUGGGGGAAACCCUGAUGCAGCAACGCCGCGUGGAGGAUGACACAUUUCGGUGCGUAAACUCCUUUUAUAGGUCAAGAUAAUGACGGUAGCCUAUGAAUAAGCGCCGGCUAACUCCGUGCCAGCAGCCGCGGUAAUACGGAGGGCGCAAGCGUUACUCGGAAUCACUGGGCGUAAAGAGCAUGUAGGCGGGUUAAUAAGUCAGAAGUGAAAUCCAAUAGCUCAACUAUUGAACUGCUUUUGAAACUGUUAACCUAGAGUGUGGGAGAGGUAGAUGGAAUUUCUGGUGUAGGGGUAAAAUCCGUAGAGAUCAGAAGGAAUACCGAUUGCGAAGGCGAUCUACUGGAACAUUACUGACGCUGAGAUGCGAAAGCGUGGGGAGCAAACAGGAUUAAUACCCGGGUAGUC